CAACCCCUUUUUGUUGUGGAUGGAAACAAACCACCAAAACCUCCCCCUGUACUACAUCGAACACACACACAUAGCACCACUCUUAGUAACCAAAAACAAAUUUCUCAUCUAAAACCAUCUCAUCCUCUACCUCUCAUACAGUUUCAAUAAGGAUCAUCAAAGGAAAAAUACUUUUAUUUGUUGUAACAAUAAUCAUCUAGCAAAAACAUUCAAGACAUCAUCAUUUUCAUCUUCCUGAUCUUCUUUCAAGAUCAUUAAUUAUUGGUUUUGGAUAGACGUGGAGACUAGACUGCUCAUUUUCUCAGAUUACUCAUACUUUUAGCUCGUUGAACGCUAAGGUAAUCAACAGUAAGUCUUGGAACAUCUAUGGCAUAUUAGGGCCAUUCUUUUGACAUUGGACGUACAAUUAGCAUCAGACAUUUGAGGACUCUCAUGUUAUUAGCUUUAAUUGUAUUAGACUGUCCAAAUUAUUGAACUCGUAUUCAGUGGGCCCAGUUCCAAAUGAGGACGACUUGUAUCCGUAUUUUGGGGUCCACAUUUGAACAAUUGUAGUUGUAUUGAACUUGUAUUGGCAUUAAUGGAUGUAAUCUCUAUUACCUUCUGAUUA